GGGACUGCGGGAUACCGCUGGGGGCGCGUGUUCUUUCUUGGAGGAAAUAACCGGGGGUGCGGCGGGGCGGCGGCGAAGACUCUGGAUUUGACACUGGUCGCAAUCGCGACCCCUCCGAGAAAUGGAAGGAGUCCAACGUUGGAGGCAGCACCUGCCGCUAAUAAUCUGUACAACUUUGGGGGUUGCGGUUUCUCUAGAGGACUCCGUUUCCGGAGGGGUCUGGUUCGCACCGCACAGAACCGGGGUGUGCGUGCUCCAGGCUGACUUCAUCUCCUCCCAUAAAGAUACGGUCGUAAGCGGUCGGGCUGGAUGAACUCUUUCUCGUCCCUGAUCCUCCUUUGGGCUACACUUCCUUCCACCCCGGACGCUCCCUAGGUGGGUUCCCGACGUUAGUAAAGGAAGGCUUCUGCUCCCCCUGGUGGUCCUAAAUGGAAAAGGCAGAAGUUUGGAUUCCACCUGCUAGCUGUAUACAAGAAAUGAAAAAGUCGGGGCGCCUGGGUGGCUCAGUCUGUUAACUGUUGGAC